GACGAACGCUGGCGGCGUGCUUAACACAUGCAAGUCGAACGGAAAGGCCCUGCUUUUGUGGGGUGCUCGAGUGGCGAACGGGUGAGUAACACGUGAGUAACCUGCCCUUGACUUUGGGAUAACUUCAGGAAACUGGGGCUAAUACCGGAUAGGAGCUCCUGCUGCAUGGUGGGGGUUGGAAAGUUUCGGCGGUUGGGGAUGGACUCGCGGCUUAUCAGCUUGUUGGUGGGGUAGUGGCUUACCAAGGCUUUGACGGGUAGCCGGCCUGAGAGGGUGACCGGCCACAUUGGGACUGAGAUACGGCCCAGACUCCUACGGGAGGCAGCAGUGGGGAAUAUUGCACAAUGGGCAGAAGCCUGAUGCAGCAACGCCGCGUGCGGGAUGACGGCCUUCGGGUUGUAAACCGCUUUCGCCUGUGACGAAGCGUGAGUGACGGCAAUGGGUAAAGAAGCACCGGCUAACUACGUG
rnacentral:rRNA from 1 species